rnacentral:rRNA from 1 species
UUAAGCGACUAAGCGUACACGGUGGAUGCCCUGGCAGUCAGAGGCGAUGAAGGACGUGCUAAUCUGCGAAAAGCGUCGGUAAGGUGAUAUGAACCGUUACAGCCGGCGAUGUCCGAAUGGGGAAACCCAGUGCAAUUCGUUGCACUAUCGUUAACUGAAUACAUAGGUUAACGAGGCGAACCGGGGGAACUGAAACAUCUAAGUACCCCGAGGAAAAGAAAUCAACCGAGAUUCCCCCAGUAGCGGCGAGCGAACGGGGAGCAGCCCAGAGUCUGAAUCAGCUUGUGUGUUAGUGGAACGGUCUGGAAAGUCCGACGGUACAGGGUGAUAGUCCCGUACACCAAAAUGCACAGGCUGUGAACUCGAAGAGUAGGGCGGGACACGUGGUAUCCUGUCUGAAUAUGGGGGGACCAUCCUCCAAGGCUAAAUACUCCUGACUGACCGAUAGUGAACCAGUACCGUGAGGGAAAGGCGAAAAGAACCCCGGCGAGGGGAGUGAAAAAGAACCUGAAACCGUGUACGUACAAGCAGUGGGAGCCUCUUAAUGGGGUGACUGCGUACCUUUUGUAUAAUGGGUCAGCGACUUAUAUUCUGUAGCAAGGUUAACCGAAUAGGGGAGCCGAAGGGAAACCGAGUCUUAACUGGGCGUUAAGUUGCAGGGUAUAGACCCGAAACCCGGUGAUCUAGCCAUGGGCAGGUUGAAGGUUGGGUAACACUAACUGGAGGACCGAACCGACUAAUGUUGAAAAAUUAGCGGAUGACUUGUGGCUGGGGGUGAAAGGCCAAUCAAACCGGGAGAUAGCUGGUUCUCCCCGAAAGCUAUUUAGGUAGCGCCUCGUGAACUCAUCUUCGGGGGUAGAGCACUGUUUCGGCUAGGGGGUCAUCCCGACUUACCAACCCGAUGCAAACUACGAAUACCGAAGAAUGUUAUCACGGGAGACACACGGCGGGUGCUAACGUCCGUCGUGAAGAGGGAAACAACCCAGACCGCCAGCUAAGGUCCCAAAGUCAUGGUUAAGUGGGAAACGAUGUGGGAAGGCCCAGACAGCCAGGAUGUUGGCUUAGAAGCAGCCAUCAUUUAAAGAAAGCGUAAUAGCUCACUGGUCGAGUCGGCCUGCGCGGAAGAUGUAACGGGGCUAAACCAUGCACCGAAGCUGCGGCAGCGACACUAUGUGUUGUUGGGUAGGGGAGCGUUCUGUAAGCCUGUGAAGGUGGCCUGUGAGGGUUGCUGGAGGUAUCAGAAGUGCGAAUGCUGACAUAAGUAACGAUAAAGCGGGUGAAAAGCCCGCUCGCCGGAAGACCAAGGGUUCCUGUCCAACGUUAAUCGGGGCAGGGUGAGUCGACCCCUAAGGCGAGGCCGAAAGGCGUAGUCGAUGGGAAACAGGUUAAUAUUCCUGUACUUGGUGUUACUGCGAAGGGGGGACGGAGAAGGCUAUGUUAGCCGGGCGACGGUUGUCCCGGUUUAAGCAUGUAGGCUGGUUAUCCAGGCAAAUCCGGAUAAUCAAGGCUGAGGUGUGAUGACGAGGCACUACGGUGCUGAAGUAACAAAUGCCCUGCUUCCAGGAAAAGCCUCUAAGCAUCAGGUAACAUCAAAUCGUACCCCAAACCGACACAGGUGGUCAGGUAGAGAAUACCAAGGCGCUUGAGAGAACUCGGGUGAAGGAACUAGGCAAAAUGGUGCCGUAACUUCGGGAGAAGGCACGCUGGUGUGUAGGUGAAGUCCCUGCGGAUGGAGCUGAGACCAGUCGAAGAUACCAGCUGGCUGCAACUGUUUAUUAAAAACACAGCACUGUGCAAACACGAAAGUGGACGUAUACGGUGUGACGCCUGCCCGGUGCCGGAAGGUUAAUUGAUGGGGUUAUCCGUAAGGAGAAGCUCUUGAUCGAAGCCCCGGUAAACGGCGGCCGUAACUAUAACGGUCCUAAGGUAGCGAAAUUCCUUGUCGGGUAAGUUCCGACCUGCACGAAUGGCGUAAUGAUGGCCAGGCUGUCUCCACCCGAGACUCAGUGAAAUUGAACUCGCUGUGAAGAUGCAGUGUACCCGCGGCAAGACGGAAAGACCCCGUGAACCUUUACUAUAGCUUGACACUGAACAUUGAGCCUUGAUGUGUAGGAUAGGUGGGAGGCUUUGAAGCGUGGACGCCAGUCUGCGUGGAGCCAACCUUGAAAUACCACCCUUUAAUGUUUGAUGUUCUAACGUUGGCCCCUGACCGGGGUUGCGGACAGUGUCUGGUGGGUAGUUUGACUGGGGCGGUCUCCUCCCAAAGCGUAACGGAGGAGCACGAAGGUUAGCUAAUCCUGGUCGGACAUCAGGAGGUUAGUGCAAUGGCAUAAGCUAGCUUGACUGCGAGCGUGACGGCGCGAGCAGGUGCGAAAGCAGGUCAUAGUGAUCCGGUGGUUCUGAAUGGAAGGGCCAUCGCUCAACGGAUAAAAGGUACUCCGGGGAUAACAGGCUGAUACCGCCCAAGAGUUCAUAUCGACGGCGGUGUUUGGCACCUCGAUGUCGGCUCAUCACAUCCUGGGGCUGAAGUAGGUCCCAAGGGUAUGGCUGUUCGCCAUUUAAAGUGGUACGCGAGCUGGGUUUAGAACGUCGUGAGACAGUUCGGUCCCUAUCUGCCGUGGGCGCUGGAGAACUGAGGGGGGCUGCUCCUAGUACGAGAGGACCGGAGUGGACGCAUCACUGGUGUUCGGGUUGUCAUGCCAAUGGCACUGCCCGGUAGCUAAAUGCGGAAGAGAUAAGUGCUGAAAGCAUCUAAGCACGAAACUUGCCCCGAGAUGAGUUCUCCCUGACUCCUUGAGAGUCCUGAAGGAACGUUGAAGACGACGACGUUGAUAGGCCGGGUGUGUAAGCGCAGCGAUGCGUUGAGCUAACCGGUACUAAUGAACCGUGAGGCUUAACCUU